rnacentral:lncRNA from 1 species
GAAAGAAAUAUCACCACCUUGUAAUAAAAUUUGUUUCAUGAAUCUUACUGGUAACGUUUAUGAGACAAGUUUAUUUGAUUACCAUUAGCAACGGAGAAACAUUCGGCGUUUAUGACUUCUUGCGAAUUUUCGUUGCUCAUCGAAAAUGUGAAAAAACUUCAGCUGCCUACUUUAUGUUUUAUUCCCGAAAAAUCUGAUUCUCCAUUUCUUUCAGAGCCAGUAAGAAGAAGUAAAAUCCUAAAGAAGCUGAAGUUAUUACGAUUUCACCGGGCGACUUCAAUAAAUGUUUUGAUGAUAUUUUGGAUCCACUAAUGUAAAAAUCACCAAAACUAUGCAGUUUACUGCAAGAUUUUCUUUUGUCCAAGAACUAAAGUGGCUCACAGAUUGCCGAAGCCUGCAUAAAACAACUUCUCUGCGUGUUACCUCAGCGCUGCAGCUUUUCUCAUCAGAAAGUGAAUAUAUUCUUAUUCUCUCACAAACAGGAUAAAUAUUUCAGUUGCUCGAAACUAGCUGCUAGUUUCUCGUAAGGUGUUUUGGCUUUUCCUGUGUGUUUCAUAACUUUAAAUGCUUCCUGAAUGAAGUUUAUGAUGCUGGAAUCAUUUGCCCAGUUUACUGCCAGCUCGGUUGUAAGCUGUUUAUUCAGUUUUUCAAUAAACAAGCUGGAAUUUUCGUCUGUUUUCCUUCCAGAUUUCUGGUUUGGAAAUAAUGGAAAAUCGUAUUUAGAGAGCCUUGGAGUUUUUCUUUGGUUUCCGGAUACAAAUUGGAUUUUAAUUUGAUAGGAUUUCUUGUAAGCCGGGUAAGCUUGGUAAGAACUUACAUUCUGGUCUUGACAAAAAAUACAGAUAGGCUUUUCAUUUUCUAUAAAGAACUUCUGUGUGUUUUAUUGCGCCUGACUCACUUUUAUUAGUUAUUGAAAAAUUAUUGUCUGGAAUAAUAGCUCGUUCUUCGGUUGUCUUAAUUAAUUCAAUGAAGAAAAUCGCCGAUGGUUUUUUAUUCCAUUCUUGUUGCGGCCAAACUGCUUCCCUCACAAUACAGGAAAAUUUCUUCGUAUGAAAUCUCUUUUGAUUUCUUCUUCAGUAACUGAGAUAAGGGAGUCUGUUAAUUACGGCUUUAACCGUCUUUCCAUUUGACACCAUACUAGCUGAUAGUGUUCACCUUCAGCUCGUCUGUUAGGUCAAUUUAAGGUAGACAACUCAUUACGUGCAAUUACGAUGCAUACCGAUCAGAAAACCGAUUACAUAUAGUGUAUAUAUAAUGGAUUUACAUGACAAUUUUAAAUAUUUGAGUUAUACACGAGUUUUCAAUUUUAGCAGAUUGUUUGUAGCAAAAUCUUAUCUCUCGGCUUACAGUCGGAACUAUAUACAUUAAUCAGUUAUAUUUUAUUCAUCGAUAUGCAUUACAUUAAGUAUUAAAAGCCCUCAUUUAUGUUUCUUUCUCGACAGGUGAGGUUCCUUAACACAUCUUUUUUGGAAUAUGAGACGUAGUGUUUACGAAAAGUUAGCCAGCUAUGAUUUAGAUUUCAGGAAAAAUCCAUCUGGUGAUCAUACUUAUUAUAGUUGCAUAAAAUAAAACAUAACAAUGCUUAUAAAUAGUAAUAUACAAAUUUUCUAAAAUCAUUUCUCGAUUUUUGUGAUUAAUGUAUUAACAUUAAUACUUACCAGUUACUGAACCGGGAGGAAAAUACUGCAGCAAAAUAUCGCCUUCCUCUCCUUUGGUUCCAGAUUUUAGAGCUGAAGAGGGAACAUUAACUACCACCCAGUAUCCAAAAGAGACGCCUGUUGGCGCAUCCGGAUCUGUUUUAAAAUAUUUUAUCACAAAUUGAUAACUAUAUUUAAAAUGAAUUAAAAACAUCUGAUAUGUACACCACAAGAUUUACUUCUACGGAAGAUUAAAUUGUACGUCAUCAUUGGAUGUGCGCGUGCGCACAUUCAUCAAUCAUUUCCUGACGUGCCAGCAUCAAUCAUUUCCUGACGUGUCAGCGCACGCGCACCACGCGUCAAUGAUGACGUUUCGAGAAUGUCAAUUUGACAUUCUCGAAGCUAUUCCUCUUAUUGAAAAGGCGUGGUCAGAAAUCACUCAACGACAGUUGGUUUCUGCCUAGCGAAAGCUGUGUCCAUCCCUCGUUCAAGGAGACGAAAGUGAUCAGGGUGACACCCCUGAAAUUAUGGAUGAAAAUGUAACAACUGCGAGAGAUCUGGAAUUGGAGGUGAACGAGGAUGACAUUGAAGAGCUCAUAAUGGAACAUGAAGGUGACUUGACGGCAGAAGAACUCCAAGAAAUCUUGAAUGAAGAACACCAAGAAACUCAGCGAAAUGUGUUUCCUUUUGAAAAAGAGGAAGACGAAAGAGGAGCAAUGCCGACAUCUGCCAUUAAAGAUCUUUUGAAGAAAUGAGAGGAUGCUGGAACCAAACCAAGCUGAUGUCAAUAGGGUUGCUAAUCUCUACAACGACAUUGCUAUCAAUCAUUUCCUGAAAGUCCUGAAGGAGAGAGAAAAACAAUCGACAUUGGACAUUUCUUUAACGCCCAAAGAAAGGAAAAGGACUGAUUAAUAAGACUAUACGUAUGUAUUACAUUUGUAAUAAAUAAGCUUACUAAGAAAUUA